rnacentral:rRNA from 1 species
GACAGAGGGUGCAAACGUUGUUCGGAAUUACUGGGCAUAAAGAGCUCGUAGGUGGUUUGUCGCGUUGUUCGUGAAAACUCACAGCUCAACUGUGGGCGUGCGGGCGAUACGGGCAGACUGGAGUACUGCAGGGGAGACUGGAAUUCCUGGUGUAGCGGUGGAAUGCGCAGAUAUCAGGAGGAACACCGGUGGCGAAGGCGGGUCUCUGGGCCGAUACUGACGCUGAGGAGCGAAAGCGUGGGGAGCGAACAGG